CGAAACAAAAUAUAGUCUUGAAUUUGAGUUUUAGUUCUUUUUACAUCAAUUACAUGGCUUUUUCAUCGUUUUGAUAUUGGAUAAUAUAUUUUAUAGAGUCAAACUUCCAACAUACCCAAAGAUUCCUCUAUCUUUCACCCAAAUUGAUAGAAACACUAAGUUGUCAAGCAUAAGAUAAAUUUCAAAGCAUAUUAACUAUAUUAAACCCCAAAACUUUCUUUUUAUAUUGUAUUAAUUUUGACAGAUUAAAUUUAUAUUGUAUUAAAUUUCUUUUUUUUAUAACUAACUAUAGAGAUAGAAAUGGACAAGAUUUCCUAAUAUAGAUAUGAACAAAUCGCUAGAAUGUAUAUUGUGAUGUGAAGAAUAUUGAGUUGUGACAUAUAAUAAAAAGACCAUUGAGAUGAAGAUGUGAAUGAGAAAAUUAUUGAGAACAUAUAGGUUUAAUUAUGUGUGUUUGAAUAUGUGCAUGUGUGAAGAUAGAUAUUGCAUUAAUAUGUCUUGUUAUAAAUUUUUAUAACUAUAUCAAUAUUAAUACUUAAGGUUAAUAAAAAGGCAUUAAUUAUCCAUCAUGCAGA
rnacentral:lncRNA from 1 species